CCCAUUUCUUCAGGGCCCCUACCUGGCCUUGCAGAAGAGUCCAGCAGAACAAAGUUGGAAGCAGAGGGAGUGAAUCUAAACCUAUGGACAGAUUCAUCUUGGAAACCCUAAGUGAGGCUAAAGUCCUGUCAACCAUCAUCUACAUACUGUCUCCCUGAAUUUGACUAUUCCAGGGACUUCAUAUAGACAGAAUCAUGCUGUAUUUGUUCUUUUAUGUCUGGCUUAUUUUACUUAACACUGUUUUUACUGUAAGUCCAGUUGUAGCAUAUGUCAGAAUUGUAUUCUAUUUUAAGGCUGAAUAACAUUCCAUUUUAAGUAUAUUUCAUAUUUUGUUUAUCCGUUCAUCUCUUAAUGGAAAUGUGAAUUGUUUCCACCUUUUGCAGUUGUGCAUACUCUUGCCAUAAAUAUUUAUGUCCAAA
rnacentral:lncRNA from 10 species